rnacentral:rRNA from 1 species
AGAGUUUGAUCCUGGCUCAGGAUGAACGCUAGCGGCAGGCCUAACACAUGCAAGUCGAGGGGUAACAGGAAAGCUUGCUUUUGCUGACGACCGGCGCACGGGUGCGUAACGCGUAUGCAACCUACCUCAUACAGGAGGAUAGCCCUUGGAAACGAGGAUUAAUACUCCAUGGCAUCAUGAAUUCGCAUGUUUUUAUGAUUAAAGUAUUACGGUAUGAGAUGGGCAUGCGUCCCAUUAGCUAGUUGGUGAGGUAACGGCUCACCAAGGCGACGAUGGGUAGGGGGCCUGAGAGGGUGGUCCCCCACACUGGUACUGAGACACGGACCAGACUCCUACGGGAGGCAGCAGUGAGGAAUAUUGGUCAAUGGAGGCAACUCUGAACCAGCCAUGCCGCGUGAAGGAUGACGGCCCUAUGGGUUGUAAACUUCUUUUAUAGAGGAAGAAACUUGUCUACGUGUAGACAACUGACGGUACUCUACGAAUAAGGAUCGGCUAACUCCGUGCCAGCAGCCGCGGUAAUACGGAGGAUCCAAGCGUUAUCCGGAAUCAUUGGGUUUAAAGGGUCCGUAGGUGGUCCGUUAAGUCAGAGGUGAAAUCCUAUCGCUCAACGAUAGAACUGCCUUUGAAACUGAUGGACUUGAGUUAUUGUGAAGUAGUUAGAAUAUGUAGUGUAGCGGUGAAAUGCAUAGAUAUUACAUAGAAUACCGAUUGCGAAGGCAGUCUACUACGUAUGUACUGACGCUGAUGAACGAAAGCGUGGGGAGCGAACGGGAUUAGAUACCCCGGUAGUCCACGCCGUAAACGAUGGACACUAGUUGUUGGGUUUAUACUCAGUGACUAAGCGAAAGUGAUAAGUGUCCCACCUGGGGAGUACGGUCGCAAG